UGGUGGAGUGAUUUGUCUGGUUGAUUCCGAUAACGAACGAGACCUCGGCUUACUAAAUAGUGAUGCGUAUUCUUUUGGAUAUGUAGCCCACUUCUUAGAAGGACAAUCCACAUUUAAGUGGAAGGAAGUUCGAGGCAAUAACA
rnacentral:rRNA from 1 species